UACGUAGGCAGCAAGCGUUGUUCGGAAUUACUGGGCGUAAAGAGUGUGUAGGCGGUGCUCUAAGUUCGGUGUGAAAUCUCCCGGCUUAACUGGGAGGGUGCGCCGGAAACUGGAAGUGCUUGAGCGCGGGAGAGGAAAGCGGAAUUCCUGGUGGUAGCGGUGAAAUGCGUAGAUAUCAGGAGGAACACCUGUGGUGUAGACGGCUUUCUGGACCGUAGCUGACGCUGAGACACGAAAGCGUGGGUAGCAAACAGG
rnacentral:rRNA from 1 species